rnacentral:rRNA from 1 species
GUUAGUUGCCAUCAUUUAGUUGGGCACUCUAGCGAGACUGCCGGUGACAAACCGGAGGAAGGUGGGGAUGACGUCAAAUCAUCAUGCCCCUUAUGACCUGGGCUACACACGUGCUACAAUGGGAAGUACAACGAGUCGCUAGACCGCGAGGUCAUGCAAAUCUCUUAAAGCUUCUCUCAGUUCGGAUUGCAGGCUGCAACUCGCCUGCAUGAAGCCGGAAUCGCUAGUAAUCGCGGAUCAGCACGCCGCGGUGAAUACGUUCCCGGGCCUUGUACACACCGCCCGUCACACCACGAGAGUUUGUAACACCCGAAGUCGGUGAGGUAACCUUUUUGGAGCCAGCCGCCUAAGGUGGGAUAGAUGAUUGGGGUGAAGUCGUAACAAGGUAGCCGUAUCGGAAGGUGCGGCUGGAUCACCUCCUUUCUAAGGAA